CUGGAGUAUCUUCCUAUAGACCUCUUCAAAUAAGACCUCACCUGGCAGCCUGUUAAACUGAGGACUUCAGUUGCCCUGCGCAGUGACUAGAGUCUCUUAUUCAUCACCUGUUCCAUCUCUUAGAACCAAGGAAUCCCUGAGAGAAGUUUUCUGGCAGAGUACAGAGACUGAGAUGCAACAAUUCUCGACUGUUUGGAGUUCCUCCGUCCAGUGCUCUGUGUUGGACCCUAAGUGCACACCACUGAAUGUGAAACAUUGUUCUGCAACUUGCUUUCUUCUCUUUCCAUAUCUUGGAGGUAUGAAAGAAACCUUAACACCACAUAAAUAGAAAGGUUUUUUUCUUUCAGUAAGGAAAGUGAGAGUGAGGGAAUGUAAUCGAAUGAACCCAACAUUUAUCACAGAGAAUGACAAUGACAAGACCACAGUUCAACUAGCUGAUACAAUGCCUUUGGAACCCAUCCUCAGGAUAAAUUCAGUGAAAAGCAC
ensembl:lncRNA